CGGGCGGGUCGGACGCGCCGACCGAUGCUUCGGCGAGACCGUCUCGCGUGGCCGCCUUCGAACGCGCCACGACUCGCGUGACUAUACACGCGAACGACCAGGCGUUGGGAUCCAGCAUGGGGCGAACAUAUUCGCUCGCGCAGGACGCCUAGGUAUUCAACGGUGUCGUGAACCACUUGAUGUUGGCGACAGUCACCGGGGUGGAAGGCCAUUCUCCAUGCCAGAAGCCAAGGCACUUUCCCCAGUUUACCAGGCUGCGACGAGGCACAAUGAGAUGGAAGCCCGGACCUGGAGCACGACGAAAAGCGGCAGCACUGGCGAAACCAGCACAGCAUCGAAGCGAAGCUCGAGCUUGUCCCCGAUGCGAAUCCACCCACGCUGAACCAACCUGCCCGUUCCAGAAGUAAAGCUGCCGCAUCUACAAGUGGCUGGGACACUUGGCAGGGGUCUACCAAGCACGGCGGCGAUCCGUGAGAGCCGUGGAUGAGAGUGCAGACCAAGAAACGGUGAUGAAGGAGCUGCAAGGGCAAGUGACGAGCAGCUCAGCGAAACUCGUCUCUCUGCGACCGGAGAAGGUCGAACGAGGAUGGCGGCCUUUGAAGCGCGCUAUCUCGGACGUCGUGAUCGCUGCAGGCGCCGCGCAACAAUGGCAUUUUAUCUGGUCUCGAUAGAGUCCCACCAGUUCGGGCUAUAUCUUGCACUGUGUUUGAAGCGAGAUAGUCAUGCCAACGAUUUUUUUAUAAUGAACAAGGCCGUCAGGAAAACUUCCAUAACAGUAAUAUUCGAGUCAUUGUUGUAAAUAAGACUGCAGCCAGGAAUACACAUUGACCUAUACGAACACCAUUUGUGAAGAAUAAACCUUCAUGCUUUCUUUCCAAACA